rnacentral:lncRNA from 1 species
CCAGAAUUUACAUUAGAAUAGAUUUUCUCAUUUUAGAGAUAUUUAUUAGAGAGAAGGAAAAGCAAGCAUUUAACAUUCCACCCUACUGUGUAGGAGUUUCAAAUCUCCUUCCCUAGAGAGGUAGAGAGAAGACCACAGGACCCAAACAAGUGCCCUUUCCCUUCUGCGCUGCCAGGGAAGGGUUCCCAGCAGGUGGGUGCUGCUUUUUCCAAGGCCUCUUCUUUUUAUUGUUAUGCCUAUAUAUUUCAAAAUCUAAAACCAGACGUUAACGUAGAAAACGUUUCGAUACAGGUAUUGACACAUGCAUACAUGCGCAUCCCUAUUCAUCCUGACCUGCUCCAAGCCAUCC